GAAUGUGGCCAUACCGGUUUAUUAAAGCCUGAUGUCAUCUGUCAUCUGACAUCAGAAGCUCAACAAAGUUGGGCCUGGUUAGUACUUGGAUGGGAGAUCACUGAAUACCAGAUUCCACAGAGA
rnacentral:rRNA from 1 species